rnacentral:lncRNA from 1 species
GGCUAAGAGCAUCUCCAAUGUAUUACCCCAUUUUUUACUCCAAAAUGGUGCAACACCAAAAUGGAGUAAGGUUUUACUCCAAUGUAUUACUCCAUUUUCUACUCCAAAAAUAAUAUUUCUUAAAUAAUUUCAUUUUUAUUUUAUUAAUAAUUGCAAAUAAAAUCUUAUACUUAUAAAAAAUUACCAAUUAACCCUAAUUAUUUUAUGUUUAGGAUAAUAAUUAAAAUAUAAAUUAUUUGAAUUAAAUAUUUAUUAUUAAAAAGUACAAGAAAUCAUUAAAAAAGACAACAUAUAUAUAGG